rnacentral:rRNA from 1 species
UAGGGAAUCUUUGGCAAUGGACGGAAGUCUGACCGAGCAACGCCGCGUGAGUGAAGAAGGUUUUCGGAUCGUAAAGCUCUGUUGUUAGAGAAGAACGUUGGUAGGAGUGGAAAAUCUACCAAGUGACGGUAACUAACCAGAAAGGGACGGCUAACUACGUGCCAGCAGCCGCGGUAAUACGUAGGUCCCGAGCGUUGUCCGGAUUUAUUGGGCGUAAAGCGAGCGCAGGCGGUUCUUUAAGUCUGAAGUUAAAGGCAGUGGCUUAACCAUUGUACGCUUUGGAAACUGGAGGACUUGAGUGCAGAAGGGGGGAGUGGAAUUCCAUGUGUAGCGGUGAAAUGCGUAGAUAUAUGGAGGAACACCGGUGGCGAAAGCGGCUCUCUGGUCUGUAACUGACGCUGGGGCUCGAAAGCGUGGGGAGCAAACAGG